rnacentral:rRNA from 1 species
AAUCAACGCUGGCGGCGUGCCUAACACAUGCAAGUCGAACGCGAAAGCCCCUUCGGGGGUAAGUAGAGUGGCGUCCGGGUGAGUAACACGUAGGUAAUCUACCUUCGGGUGGGGAAUAACCAGUCGAAGAUUGCUAAUACCGCAUAAUGCAGCGGCACCUAAUGGUGAUUAGUUGUUAAAGCGGGGGAUCGUAAGACCUCGCGCCUGAAGAGGAGCCUGCGGCAGAUUAGCUAGUUGGGAGGUAAUGGCUCACCAAGGCUUCGAUCUGUAGCUGGUCUGAGAGGACGGCCAGCCACACUGGCACUGACACACGGGCCAGACUCCUACGGGAGGCAGCAGUGGGGAAUUUUGGGCAAUGGGCGAAAGCCUGACCCAGCAACGCCGCGUGAGGGAGGAAAUCCUUCGGGAUGUAAACCUCACAAGCAAGGGAAGAGAGCUCAGGGCCGAAUAAGNUUUGAGUCCGACGGUACCUUGCGUAAGCCACGGCUAACUACGUGCCAGCA